rnacentral:rRNA from 1 species
UACGAAGGGGGCUAGCGUUGUUCGGAAUUAUUGGGCGUAAAGAGCGUGUAGGCGGCUUGGCAAGUCCGCUGUGAAAACUCGAGGCUCAACCUCGAGCUGUCGGUGGAAACUGCCUGGCUAGAGUCCGGAAGAGGAGUGUGGAAUUCCUGGUGUAGCGGUGAAAUGCGCAGAUAUCAGGAAGAACACCUAUGGCGAAGGCAGCACUCUGGGACGGUACUGACGCUGAGACGCGAAAGCGUGGGGAGCGAACAGG